UACGUAGGGUGCAAGCGUUUAAUCGGAAUUACUGGGCGUAAAGCGUGCGCAGGCGGUUGUGCAAGACAGAUGUGAAAUCCCCGGGCUUAACCUGGGAAUUGCAUUUGUGACUGGCAGGCUUUGAGUGUGGCAGAGGGAGGUAGAAUUCCACGUGUAGCAGUGAAAUGCGUAGAGAUGUGGAGGAAUACCGAUGGCGAAGGCAGCCUCCUGGGCCAACACUGACGCUCAUGCACGAAAGCGUGGGGAGCAAACAGG
rnacentral:rRNA from 1 species